AUUGAACGCUGGCGGCAUGCCUUACACAUGCAAGUCGAACGGCAGCACGGGAGCAAUCCUGGUGGCGAGUGGCGAACGGGUGAGUAAAGUAUCGGAACGUGCCCAGUCGUGGGGGAUAACGUAGCGAAAGUUACGCUAAUACCGCAUACGAUCUAUGGAUGAAAGCGGGGGAUCGCAAGACCUCGCGCGAUUGGAGCGGCCGAUAUCAGAUUAGGUAGUUGGUGGGGGAAAGGCUCACCAAGCCGACGAUCUGUAGCUGGUCUGAGAGGACGACCAGCCACAAUGGGACUGAGACACGGCCCAGACUCCUACGGGAGGCAGCAGUGGGGAAUUUUGGACAAUGGGCGAAAGCCUGAUCCAGCCAUGCCGCGUGCAGGAUGAAGGCCUUCGGGUUGUAAACUGCUUUUGUACGGAACGAAAAGGUUUGGCCUAAUAAGCUGAGCUCACGACGGUACCGUAAGAAUAAGCACCGGCUAACUACGUGCCAGCCGCCGCAGUAA
rnacentral:rRNA from 1 species